AGAGUUUGAUCCUGGCUCAGAAUCAACGCUGGCGGCGUGCCUAACACAUGCAAGUCGAACGCGAAAGUGGAGCAAUCCAUGAGUAGAGUGGCGAACGGGUGAGUAACACGUGGGUGACCUACCUUCGAAUGGGGGAUAACGUCCCGAAAGGGACGCUAAUACCGCAUAACAUCCUGCUUUUGAACAGGUGGAGAUCAAAGCCGGGGAUCGCAAGACCUGGCGUUUGAAGAGGGGCCCGCGUCUGAUUAGCUAGUUGGUGAGGUAACGGCCCACCAAGGCGACGAUCAGUAUCCGGCCUGAGAGGGCGGACGGACACACUGGGACUGAGACACGGCCCAGACUCCUACGGGAGGCAGCAGUGGGGAAUUGUUCGCAAUGGGCGCAAGCCUGACGACGCAACGCCGCGUGGAGGAUGAAGGUCUUCGGAUUGUAAACUCCUGUUGCCCGGGACGAAAAGCUUCGACCUAACACGUCGAGGUCUGACGGUACCGGGUGAGGAAGCCCCGGCUAACUCUGUGCCAGCAGCCGCGGUAAUACAGAGGGGGCAAGCGUUGUUCGGAAUUACUGGGCGUAAAGGGCGCGUAGGCGGCCUGUUAAGUCGAACGUGAAAUCCCCGGGCUCAACCCGGGAACUGCGUCCGAUACUGGCAGGCUUGAAUCCGGGAGAGGGAUGCGGAAUUCCAGGUGUAGCGGUGAAAUGCGUAGAUAUCUGGAGGAACACCGGUGGCGAAGGCGGCAUCCUGGACCGGUAUUGACGCUGAGGCGCGAAAGCCAGGGGAGCAAACGGGAUUAGAUACCCCCGUAGUCC
rnacentral:rRNA from 1 species